GACAGAGGGUGCAAACGUUGUUCGGAUUCACUGGGCGUAAAGCGCGUGUAGGCGGCUUCGUAAGUUGGAUGUGAAAUCCCACGGCUCAACCGUGGACGUGCAUCCAAAACUACGUCGCUGGAGUCUCGGAGAGGAAGGUGGAAUGCUUGGUGUAGAGGUGAAAUUCGUAGAUAUCAAGCAGAACACCUGCGGCGAAGGCGGCCUUCUGGACGAUGACUGACGCUGAGACGCGAAAGCGUGGGGAGCAAACAGG
rnacentral:rRNA from 1 species